GGCGGACGGGUGAGUAACGCGUGGGUAACCUGCCUUGUACUGGGGGACGAACAGUUGGAAACGACUGCUAAUACCGCAUAAGCGCACAGCUUCGCAUGAAGCAGUGUGAAAAACUCCGGUGGUACAAGAUGGACCCGCGUCUGAUUAGCUGGUUGGUGAGGUAACGGCCCACCAAGGCGACGAUCAGUAGCCGGCCUGAGAGGGUGAACGGCCACAUUGGGACUGAGACACGGCCCAAACUCCUACGGGAGGCAGCAUG
rnacentral:rRNA from 1 species